rnacentral:lncRNA from 1 species
AAGCUAUUAAUAUAAAGAAUAUGACAUAAAACACAACUCCAGCAGAGUCCUAGCCAUCCCUUAAAAAGUUAGGAUGUCCACUUCAUUCCUCAUUUUUAAGGAUUGUGGAACCAUUCCUCAUACUAUUUUAAAUAAUAAAAUAUUCACUUCUCUCCUUUUUCCCCUCUUUCCCUCCUUUCUCUCUCCUACUUACAAGUUGAAUAUAAUAUUAUAAUAAUAAUAGGGAAUAGAAAUAGGGAAUGUUGUUGGAGUUCCCAUUCAAUAAAAUGUAG